rnacentral:rRNA from 1 species
CGGGGGGGGCAAGCGUUGUUCGGAAUUACUGGGCGUAAAGGGCGCGUAGGCGGUUUGCUAAGUUGGAUGUGAAAACUCUGGGCUUAACCCAGAGCCUGCAUCCAAAAACUGGCUGACUUGAGUACUGGGAGGGGGAAAGCGGAAUUCCUGGUGUAGGCGGUGAAAUGCGUAGAUAUCAGGAGGAACACCGGUGGCGAAGGCGGCUUUCUGGACAGUAACUGACGCUGAGGCGCGAAAGCUAGGGGGAGCAAACAGGAUUAGAUACCCUGGUAGUCCUAGCCCUAAACGAUGGAUACUUGGUGUGAGGGGGAUUGAAUCCCUUCGUGCCGUAGCUAACGCAAUAAGUAUCCCGCCUGGGGAGUACGGUCGCAAGGCUG